UACGAAGGGUGCAAACGUUGCUCGGAAUUAUUGGGCGUAAAGCGCACGUAGGCGGCUUGGCAAGUCGGAUGUGAAAUCCCUCGGCUCAACCAAGGAAGUGCAUCCGAAACUGCUGAGCUUGAGUACGAAAGAGGAUCGCGGAAUUCCCGGUGUAGAGGUGAAAUUCGUAGAUAUCGGGAGGAACACCAGUGGCGAAGGCGGCGACCUGGGCCAAUAUUGACGCUGAGGUGCGAAAGCGUGGGGAGCAAACAGG
rnacentral:rRNA from 1 species